AUUAAUAUUUGGUAUAGAUAUAGAUAAAGUUUUUAUAUUUGCUUAAACUGAAAUAUAUUUGGUGCUACUCUUAUAAUCUUACAUCUGUUCUAGGUACUAUCGAGCACCUGAAAUAAUAUUUGGUGCAACUAAAUACACCACAGCCAUUGACAUUUGUUCUAGCCUCUGUUUGCUGGUGAGAGUGGAGUAGACCAGG